rnacentral:rRNA from 1 species
GUCUACAGCCAUACCACCCUGAACAUGCCUGAUCUCCUCUGAUCUUAGAAGUUAAGCAAGGUUGGGCCUGGUUAGUACUUGGAUGGGACACAAAACCCAAUGAUAAAAAUAAGAGUUACACU